GAAAUUGAUAGUAUACUGUUUGGAUGCGAGUGAUACAAUACUAAUUUGUGGAUAAAAAUUGUUAAACUUUCACCGGAUCUUCUGUGAGGUGAUUCAGAAAUUUAUCUACACUAUAAGAGCGGGAUUAGCAAGUAUAACAGUUGUUGGCUUUGUGUGGUUACAAGUGUUACCGAUGUCAUAGUGUCGUGUUUUAAACGUGUAAAUAUAGUAUCAUUACCAGAGCUUUACCUUUCUUUAACAAUAUGGCAAUUCCUGAAAAUUAUUCCGGUUGCCAGGAGAGCCAGAUGCCCACCGGAAACAACUGUCAGAUGGUAAUUAACCCAAUACAAGUUCGAUCAUUUUCUGUUACGAUCCGUGAGUUUUCUGUUAGUCGCCGUGUGGAAUUGGAAAAUUCAAGAAUUAGGAAUACAUCGUUUGUAUCUGUGGCAAGAAUAAUCCGACGAACACAACAAUUGUGAAUGUGGUAAAUUGGUUCUGUUGUAUGUUAAAUAGGCGUUAAACCCUAUUCACCCCCUCCCUCUUGGAGCAGUUAUUUGCCUUCAGGGCUGGAUUAACCUGUGUGAGGAGGGGGGGCAGUGUGAAAAAUAUAUUGGAUUUGAUCCAUUUCGAGGUGUAUGUUUUGUAUUAGUGUAUUAGAACAUAAGUUUGAAACUUUAAUCAAGGUUAAUAUACCAGCCACUCCAGUUUAAAACAUCGGUUAACGAGCGUCUGGAUAUAAGAGUAUGUCUGGAUGAAAGAGAAUGAAAGCGCGUGUUGCUUGCAGAUUGAAUUGGUAUAGAUGAACCAAAACUAAACAGGGACCCAGGAAUUUACAUUCCAAGAGCGUAUGAUCGCAUCAUUAAAAUGUAGUUUACAUCGUCUCUGAACUAUCCUUUAAUUUAAAUAUU